rnacentral:rRNA from 1 species
AUUGAACGCUGGCGGCAUGCUUUACACAUGCAAGUCGAACGGCAGCGCGGGCUUCGGCCUGGCGGCGAGUGGCGAACGGGUGAGUAAUGCAUCGGAACGUGCCCAGUAGUGGGGUAUAGCCCGGCGAAAGCCGGAUUAAUACCGCAUACGACCUGAGGGUGAAAGCGGGGGACCGAAAGGCCUCGCGCUAUUGGAGCGGCCGAUGUCGGAUUAGCUAGUUGGUGGGGUAAAGGCUUACCAAGGCGACGAUCCGUAGCUGGUCUGAGAGGACGACCAGCCACACUGGGACUGAGACAAGGCCCAGACUACUACGAGAGGCAGCAGUGGGGAAUUUUGGACAAUGGGGGCAACCCUGAUCCAGCAAUGCCGCGUGCGGGAAGAAGGCCUGCGGGUUGUAAACCGAUUUUGUUCGGGAAGAAAUCCUGUGGGCUAAUACCCCGGGGGGAUGACGGUACCGGAAGAAUAAGCACCGGCUAACUACGUG